UACAGAGGGUGCAAGCGUUAUCCGGAAUUAUUGGGCGUAAAGAGCUCGUAGGCGGUUUGUCGCGUCUGCCGUGAAAGUCCGGGGCUCAACUCCGGAUCUGCGGUGGGUACGGGCAGACUAGAGGUAUGCAGGGGAGAACGGAAUUCCUGGUGUAGCGGUGAAAUGCGCAGAUAUCAGGAGGAACACCGAUGGCGAAGGCAGGUCUCUGGGCUGUAACUGACGCUGAGGAGCGAAAGCAUGGGGAGCGAACAGG
rnacentral:rRNA from 1 species